UGUAAAUCUCACUAAGCGAAAGUAAAAUAAUAUUAUCUAGUAAAAUAUCAUUUGACGUUUAAUAAUAGACCCAAACUACUGACUGUAUAAGGUCAUAACAGCAAUAUAACUAAUGCAAUUCCAAAUUCUACGAAUACUUGAUCGGAAAAUACAAUUGCAGACGUUUUGAAGUAUGAACCAUUGUUUGAGCUAUAAUUAUACUAUAAAUCCGAGCAUUUUUAGAAGUGCUUGUUAUUUUAGUGAAACUUCUAUAAAGAUAUGGCUAUUAUUGAACUUCAUGCCAAAGCAAAAGUACAAGAAUUUCAUACUGUACCCUCUGAUGGCGUUAACAAAACUUGAUCUACCACUCCCAGCUUUUCCAAUUAUGGCAAUGUUUACUUCAAUAUCCUCCGUUGAAAUCUCGUCCAAGUCCAAAUCACUAUUUUCUGUUGCAUCUUCAUGCUCCAUUUCCAAAAGAUUUGAUUUAUAAGUUGCCAUUUUGUCUCACAACUACUUAAAUAUCUACCAAUAAGCAACUGCUAAUUUAUGUAGUUCCAUCUGCACAAACACAGUGCUAAAGCAAUAAAACAUUGUCUCCACACGACGUCAAAUUUUUCUAAUACCACAGACAUUCCAACUCUCUCGAUUUUCUCGGGAGUCUUCCGAAAUCCAUGCAUGCAAUCUCUCAAAACCAGGCUCCCGAUUUUAUCAAAUUUUCUCGAUUUUUCGGGAAAUGCCAAGCAUGCAUUUCAUGCAGAAGCACUUUCAUUAUUUUCACCAAGAAGAACUAGCUAGAUUCUGAUCUCUUUGCUCUGGGACACUCUGACAGAGCCUGCCUAAUUCAGUUUACCAACCAAGAGAUCAAUUAAUGAGACACUUACUUAAAAAAUAUUAUACCGCAUUGGAAAAGUAAAAAAAAAAAAAAAAUAAACACAUUGACUGAAAUAUAACACAAUCUAGUUUGAAAAUUACCUGAAAGAUGCCUAUCAAGAGCAUCAAUCUGGAAUUACAAGGUAUGGAAAGGUCCUGGUUUUACCAAAAUAUAAAUAAUCAGUUGCGCAAGGUUCAAAAACAACAAGAAGGGAGAACCUACAGACUUUAAAUUGAGUUAAUAGAUAGCUUACGAUCUACGACGUCGACGUCAGCUAGGACGUCAGGGCUAAGCAGAGGACUGGAACUAGGACGUCGUCCUAAAUAAAUAAAUAAACUUCCACUUAAGAUUCACGACGUAGACAUUUAAACUAUAAAUAUUUACAUCCUUUUGAAAUGAAUUAAAAAGAGACGUUUGAAUCAGAAGAAGAAUCGAACCCACAAUCUCAGAGGUGAAAGGCGAUUGCUCUGACGACUGCGCCAUGCACUGACUGAGAUCUAGACUGCCUUUGGAUAAAAAAUAAAGGCUGCGAUAGUCUAGCUAUUAAUUAUUAAGUGAUAACAGUCAAGGAUGUGAAUUUCUAGGAUCCAGUUAUUAUUAUAUACACCCUGGAUAUUUAUCUAACACUAGCCCGCGUGCAGGCCCAAGGGAAUUGAUAGUGGGCCUGCAAGCAAGGCCCGAUAUUUUGUAAAACGCCCCUUUUCAUAACACGCCCCAUUCGCGCGUCAAUUGUCAAAAAAACCAAUGACAGCAUCCAAAUAUUAACAAACAAACUCGUAUUAAAAUAUUGCGGGGUUUUUUCCUGCUUAUUCAGAACAUAUAAGUAGUAAUAUAGAGGCCGUUCGGGUCUUAUUUUUAGGGGGCCGCAGGGGACCGCAAGGGGGCCGCAUCA